UACGGAGGAUGCAAGCGUUAUCCGGAAUUAUUGGGCGUAAAGGGUCCGCAGGUGGCUUAGUAAGUCUGCUGUCAAAGCGCGGAGCUUAACUUCGUAAAGGCGGUGGAAACUGCGAGGCUAGAGUACGGUAGGGGUAGCGGGAAUUCCCAGUGUAGCGGUGAAAUGCGUAGAUAUUGGGAAGAACACCAGCGGCGAAAGCGCGCUACUGGGCUGUAACUGACACUGAGGGACGAAAGCCAGGGGAGCGAAUGGG
rnacentral:rRNA from 2 species